GUAAUGCAGUCCAUUGUUCAAUAAGAAAGUCGUGCUUCGGCGACCGGUUAGCAAUCAGGCGCAACGUAGGGGAAGAAGGGCAAUAGAGGUAUUGAAAAGACUGGCUCACCGUAGAGUAAUGUACCAUUCUUACUCGGUUCAAGUUCAUGGCUAUAUAUGUUCAUCCACAAAUGAUGACAGUGGUUCAUUUACUCUAGUACAUGGUUAUCAUGGCAAUUCUUCUUUGAGACAUUGGCUUCAACAAGCAGAUU